AGCACCAUGGCUUAGCUGGUUAAAGCACUGUCUAGUAAACAGGUGAUCCUGGGUUUGAAUCCCAGUGGUGCCU
rnacentral:tRNA from 1 species